CGCAGGACACUUAAGGUAACGAAUGAACUCGGUAUGAUAAUGAGAUCAUAAUGAGCUGAUACGUCAUGACAGUUGCCCCGCCUUGAUCAAUCCAUAUUUGGAUACAUAUACACAAACUCUAUUUUUGGGAUCAUAUAAAAAUAUAUCGGAAUAUUGCCUUUAUUCUACGCUUAGAAUUAGUCAAAUUUCCCGGAUUUGACAACACAUCACAAGGCAUUAUGAUAAGAAAUACCCUGGUGAAGUUUGUCGUAUGGUUGGAAUCAGCGUCUAAAAUACGCUUACUAGGCACAUGGCAAAGACGACGUUCAGAAGAUGUCAGCUGUAUAACUUUGAAAUCGGAAAAAACAAGGUAAAUUCUUGUAAUUGAAAUAAUGAUGUAUGAAUACCUGAAACCAAGGUUGUCAACAAUGAAAGUAGAGAACAUUUACUGUGUUUUAUACAUUGACUCAAUACUUUAGAGGUAGUAUAUACAUAGUUUGAUGUUCUUUGUUUACAUACUGCAUACGUCACACGUAGCAUUAAGUGCACACACGCAAGAUACAUAUGCUAGAGAACUGAUGCUCAAAUGGUACCAGUUGUUUGUUUUUUUUAAUUCAUAUUCACACGAUUUGCAUGAAUACAGGCGGGUAUCUAGGCAGUAAAUUCCACAAGAAUGGACACUACCCCCCCCCUUCUUUUGAUUUUUUUUGCGAUAAUUUCUCACACGUAGCCGAUGUGUAGCGUAUUGGGUGCACACACGCAAAAUAUGUCUAUAAGUUAGAAAAUGACGCUCAAAUGGUACCAGUUGUUGUUUGUUUAUAUAAACAUGAGUACAGGCGGGUAUCUAGGCAGUAAACUCCACAGGCACCUAAAGUAUGGAUAUUACAUGACCCCCCCCCCCCCCACACACACUCUUUUGAUUUUUUUUUUCUUGCUAUACUUUCUCUGAAAUAAGUCGAUUUCCUGUCAAUCUCAUCCUUCUUUCGAUUCAUGUAAUCCUUUCACGAUUUUUGUAAGCUUCUACCGGUAUGAUUUAAUUUAUUUAUUGAUUCACCAAGCAUGUUGGCAUACAAUCAUGUUACACAAUGAUGAGAUAUGUAUAAUGAUGACAAACUAAAUACUAAAAGUUCAUAUGCAUAUAUGUAAAAACGCGUAUAUAUAUUUGGCAUGUACAUAUGACAUCUAACUGUAUAUAUAAUUCAGUAUUGCAAGUAUAACAACCUAUGAUUUAUUACAAAAUUUGUGCUCAAUUUUUUUAUACCCUACAAGGCCACUCUCUAAAGCUUACAAAAAGUGUGAAACGAUUACAGUACUUUUAAAAAUCGAAAGAGAAAUGAGUUCGACAGGGAAUCAAGACAUUUCAGAAUUAUCGCUGCAAAAAAUAUUUUCAAAAAGGGGGGGGGGGGGCUAGUAUCAGUGCAUCAGGUACCUGUGGUAAUAUCUUGUACAAACGCACGUGUAACGACAUUAAUUUUCAUGCUCUAGAUUUACAGUCACAUUUAAUUUUAUCAAGUGACAUACAAAAACAAAAAAAAAUAAACUUGGGAUAUUUUUGCUUACAUUGCAGUUUGAAUAAAUGGAAGAAAAAUAAAAGACUUUGAAUGCAUACUGAUUGCCCACAUUUUUUAUGUGUAUUUGAGACCCUUCUCCAAUACAUUGAAUGUUUGCAGCAUAUGUAUUUAUAAUAUGAGAUAAUGCUAUUUACAGAUGUGCAUGAUACCAACAAGAAUAUGAACUUUUACAAGAGCAUAUUUCCAAUUUUCCACAUCUCUAGAGCAGUGGCAACAAAUGUACAUACAAGUACCCACAGAUGACAGCCAUAUUGACUCCAGUGGAUAAUAUUUACCUCCAUCAGCUGGUUACUACACUGUACAUAGUGGUCAAACCAGGAUAUCCACUAAUUGCUUUCAGUGAUGUGAAUUGUCAUCUACAUUUGUGCUUAGGAACUUUAGUAAACUGUCAAGUUUUAAUAUGAAGAAAAUGACUGCUGAAAAAGCAUCUAAUCUUGUGUUCUAUGAAUGUUUUCAAUUAAACACAAAACAAAAUGAGAAA